rnacentral:rRNA from 1 species
GACGAACGCUGGCGGCGUGCUUAACACAUGCGAGUCGUACGGUAAGGCCCUUUCGGGGGUACCCGAGUGGCGAACGGGUGAGUAACACGUGAGUAACCUGCCCACAACUUUGGGAUAACGCUAGGAAACUGGUGCUAAUACUGGAUAUGUGCUCCUGCUGCAUGGUGGGGGUUGGAAAGCUCCGGCGGUUGUGGAUGGACUCGCGGCCUAUCAGCUUGUUGGUGGGGUAGUGGCCUACCAAGGCGGCGACGGGUAGCCGGCCUGAGAGGGUGACCGGCCACAUUGGGACUGAGAUACGGCCCAGACUCCUACGGGAGGCAGCAGUGGGGAAUAUUGCACAAUGGGCGCAAGCCUGAUGCAGCAACGCCGCGUGCGGGAUGACGGCCUUCGGGUUGUAAACCGCUUUCAGCAGGGACGAAGCUUUUUGUGACGGUACCUGCAGAAGAAGCACCGGCUAACUACGUG